CCCAGACUCCUACGGGAGGCAGCAGUGGGGGAUAUUGCACAAUGGGGGGAACCCUGAUGCAGCGACGCCGCGUGGGUGAAGAAGUAUUUCGGUAUGUAAAGCCCUAUCGGCAGGGAAGAAAUUGGACGGUACCUGACUAAGAAGCCCUGGCUAACUACGUGCCAGCAGCCGCGGUAAUACGUAGGGGGCAAGCGUUAUCCGGAUUCACUGGGUGUAAAGGGAGCGUAGACGGCCAUGCAAGCCUGGAGUGAAAGCCCGGGGCCCAACCCCGGGACUGCUCUGGGAACUGUGCGGCUGGAGUGCGGGAGGGGCAGGCGGAAUUCCUGGUGUAGCGGUGAAAUGCGUAGAUAUCAGGAGGAACACCGGCGGCGAAGGCGGCCUGCUGGACCGCGACUGACGUUGAGGCUCGAAAGCGUGGGGAGCAAACAGGAUUAGAUACCCUCGUA
rnacentral:rRNA from 1 species